CGAACGGGAAACUUUUUAUUGAAGCUUCGGCAGAUUUAAUUUGUUUCUAGUGGCGGACGGGUGAGUAACGCGUGGGUAACCUGCCCUAUACAGGGGGAUAACAACCAGAAAUGGUUGCUAAUACCGCAUAAGCGCACAGGACCGCAUGGUCCGGUGUGAAAAACUCCGGUGGUAUAGGAUGGACCCGCGUUGGAUUAGCCAGUUGGCAGGGUAACGGCCUACCAAAGCGACGAUCCAUAGCCGGCCUGAGAGGGUGAACGGCCACAUUGGGACUGAGACACGGCCCAGACUCCUACGGGAGGCAGCAGUGGGGAAUAUUGCACAAUGGGGGAAACCCUGAUGCAGCGACGCCGCGUGAAGGAAGAAGUAUCUCGGUAUGUAAACUUCUAUCAGCAGGGAAGAUAGUGACGGUACCUGACUAAGAAGCCCCGGCUAACUACGUGCCAGCAGCCGCGGUAAUACGUAGGGGGCAAGCGUUAUCCGGAUUUAUUGGGUGUAAAGGGAGCGUAGACGGAUUAGCAAGUCUGAUGUGAAAGGCAGGGGCUCAACCCCUGGACUGCAUUGGAAACUGCCAGUCUUGAGUGCCGGAGAGGUAAGCGGAAUUCCUAGUGUAGCGGUGAAAUGCGUAGAUAUUAGGAGGAACACCAGUGGCGAAGGCGGCUUACUGGACGGCAACUGACGUUGAGGCUCGAAAGCGUGGGGAG
rnacentral:rRNA from 1 species